rnacentral:tRNA from 1 species
GACGUCUUAACUCAACCGAUAGAGCGCGUGGCUUUUAACCACGUGGUCGUGAGUUCGAUUCCCACAGACAACG